rnacentral:rRNA from 1 species
CACUGCCGAGAAAAGCCUCUAGAUAGAAAAUAGGUGCCCGUACCGCAAACCGACACAGGUAGUCAAGAUGAGAAUUCUAAGGUGAGCGAGCGAACUCUCGUUAAGGAACUCGGCAAAAUGACCCCGUAACUUCGGGAGAAGGGGUGCUCUUUAGGGUUAACGCCCAGAAGAGCCGCAGUGAAUAGGCCCAAGCGACUGUUUAUCAAAAACACAGGUCUCUGCUAAACCGUAAGGUGAUGUAUAGGGGCUGACGCCUGCCCGGUGCUGGAAGGUUAAGAGGAGUGGUUAGCUUCUGCGAAGCUACGAAUCGAAGCCCCAGUAAACGGCGGCCGUAACUAUAACGGUCCUAAGGUAGCGAAAUUCCUUGUCGGGUAAGUUCCGACCCGCACGAAAGGCGUAACGAUUUGGGCACUGUCUCAACGAGAGACUCGGUGAAAU